GUCCUAUUGAUUAUAAUUUUAGGUCUAAUCUGCCCAAUGAAAUUUUAAAUGGCUGCAGUAUUUUAACUGUACAAAGGUAGCAUAAUAAUUAGUCUUUUAAUUAAGGACUGGAAUGAAUGAUUGAACGAGAUAAUAACUGUCUCUAUUUAAAUUAUAGAAUUUUAUUUUUAAGUUAAAAAGCUUAAAUAAAUUUAAAAGACGAGAAGACCCUAUAGAGUUUUAUAUUUUUUAAUAAUUUAUUUUUUAGAUAAUAAAUUAAUAGAUUUUUUAAUGAUUAUUUGAUUGGGGUGAUUGAAAAAUUUAAUUAACUUUUUUUUAUUUAUUACACUAAUUAGUGGUUAAUUGAUCCAAUUUUUAUUGAUUAUAAGAUUAAAUUACCUUAGGGAUAACAGCGUAAUUUUUUUAGAGAGUUCAUAUCGAAAAAAAAGAUUGCGACCUCGAUGUUGGAUUAAAAUUAAUUUUUGGCGUAGAAGUUAAAAAAUUAGGUCUGUUCGACCUUUAAAAUUUUACAUGAUCUGAGUUUAAAUCGGCGUGAGCCAGGUUGGUUUCUAUCUUUAAAAAAAUAAAAUAUUUUAGUACGAAAGGACCAAAUAUUUAUAAAGUUUAUUUUUUUAUGAAUUA
rnacentral:rRNA from 1 species